rnacentral:rRNA from 1 species
GAUGAACGCUGGCGGCGUGCUUAACACAUGCAAGUCGAGCGGAAAGGCCCUUUCGGGGGUACUCGAGCGGCGAACGGGUGAGUAACACGUGAGUAAUCUGCCUUGCACUCUGGGAUAGCCUUGGGAAACUGAGAUUAAUACCGGAUAUGACAUGUGUUCGCAUGAGCGUGUGUGGAAAGUUUUUUCGGUGCAAGAUGUGCUCGCGGCCUAUCAGCUUGAUGGUGGGUAAUGGCCUACCAUGGCUUCGACGGGUAGCCGGCCUGAGAGGGUGACCGGCCACACUGGGACUGAGACACGGCCCAGACUCCUACGGGUGGCAG